rnacentral:rRNA from 1 species
AUUGAACGCUGGCGGCAGGCUUAACACAUGCAAGUCGAGCGGAGCGGCGGCCGGGUGCGUAAUACUUAGGAAUCUGCCUCGUCGUGGGGGAUAGCGUUCGGAAACGGACGCUAAUACCGCAUACUCUCAGAUGAGCCUAGGUGGGAUUAGCUAGUUGGUGGGGUAAUGGCUCACCAAGGCUACGAUCAGUAACUGGUCUGAGAGGAGGAUCAGUCACACGGGAACUGAGACACGGUCAAGACUCCUACGGGAGGCAGCAGUGGGGAAUAUUGGACAAUGGGCGAAAGCCUGAUCCAGCCAUGCCGCGUGUUUGAAGAAGGUCUUCGGAUUGUAAAGCACUUUAAGUUGGGAGGCGUUACCGACAGAAUAAGCACCGGCUAACUCUGUGCCAGCAGCCGCGGUAAUAC